ensembl:lncRNA
CACCUGCCAAUGCAGGAGACAUGGUUUGAUCCCUGGUCUGGGAGGAUCCCACACGUGGCAGAGCAACUAGCCUGUGUACCACAACUAUUAAGCCUGUGCUCUAAAGCCUGGGAGCCACAACUACUGAAGCUCCUGGGCCAAGAGCCUGUGUCCCACAAGAGAAGCCACCACAAUGAGAAGAAGCCACCACAAUGAGAAGCCACCACCGCAACCAGAGAGUGGCCCCCACUUGCUGCAACUAGGAAAAGCCCAAGCAGCAACAAAGACAUAUCACAGCCAAAAAUAAUCUUGGCAGCUGUACUUGUUCCAGAACAAAGAAAUGCUGGAGCAGCAGGACAGCGAAGACCCAGAGUUCGUAAUUCAUACAGGGCAGGAGAAAGAAGAGCUCAGUGAGGUCCUUCUCUGCUUCCCAUCAGGGACAGAGGCAACAAAGCCAGCAGCUAGGCAUCCUCGCCUAUGUUUGUAACCAUCAAACAUUCACACAGCCCCUCCAAGCCAGGCACUGGGCAAGGCACUGUGGGCCUUGCAAAGAAUAAACUCCAAGCUCUGUUCUUCGAAAACUCAUGGACCAGAAAAGGGAUUAGAUUAGCACCCAAGGCUGGAACAGACAGAGAAAUAGAGUCAGAAAUGGCCUCAUAGGGCUUCCCUGGUGGCUCAGUGGUAAAGAAUCCACCUGUCAAGGCAGGAGACACAGAUUCAGUUCCUGGUGGAAGAUGCCACAUGCUGCAGAGCAACCAAACCGUGUGAGCCACAACUAUUGAGCCUGUACUCUAGAGCCUGGGAGCCGCAACUUCUGAAGCCCACAUGCCCUAGAGUCUGUGCUCCACAAGAGAAGCCACCGCACACCACUGGAGAGCAGCCCCUGCCCGCGGCACCUGCAGAAAAGCCCAAGCACCAGUGAAGACCCACCACAGCCAAAAAUAAAAUAAUUUUUUUUAAAAGAAAAGAAAUGUUAAAAAAAAAAAAGAAACAAACAAACAGCCUCAUGGGGAAACAAGGAGACCCCCACCCCAAACCAGCAGCCAUCUACUGCUGGUGGAACCACACUGUGCUGGGAGCAGGAAUAAACACCCUCUCCACCCUCAGGAACUGAGCCUAGUCAGAGGAUGAGAUGUUUGGUUGGCAUCACCGACUCAGUGAACAUGAGUUUGAGCAAAUUCUAAGAGAUGGUGAAGGACAGGGGAGGCUGGCGUGCUUCAGUCCAUGGGGUUGCAAAGAGUCGGACACUGAGUGACUGA